UACAGAGGGUGCAAGCGUUGUUCGGAAUUACUGGGCGUAAAGCGCGCGUAGGCGGCUUUUCAAGUCGGGCGUGAAAGCCCCGGGCUUAACCCGGGAAUGGCGCUCGAUACUGUUGAGCUAGAGUGUGGAAGGGGCUACUGGAAUUCCGGGUGUAGCGGUGGAAUGCGUAGAGAUCCGGAAGAACACCGGUGGCGAAGGCGGCCUGCUGGGCAGUGGCUGACACUGAGGCGCGAGAGCGUGGGGAGCGAACCGG
rnacentral:rRNA from 1 species